GCCCCGCGCACCUCCAUCCCGGACACUCACCGGCGCUGGCGGCCCCAGUUCUGGCUCGGCGGCAGCGGUUGCACGCCCAGGCUCUGCGCCUGCGCUGCAAGUAGGGAAAGAAGGCAAGAAUGGAGUCACUCUUUUCCGCUUUGGAUGCUCAGUGCCUAGAACAGGAUCAAGUCUGCGGUCAGCACUAAGCUGUCUGGAAUACCUAGCUUUUGCCUGUUUUAUUCACCAUGGCAUCUCCAGCCCUUUGAGCAGCACCUUGUACAAAGAUACUGGACCGAAAGACCCGCCCCUUUCGGGAUCUGGGCCUCAAGUUUCCAAUCCUGGAUCUACGCCCGCCCUCUGUCAAAUCGGGUUCUAGGCCCCACCCUCUUCUGGACGCCACAACCAACCACACCCGUCGCUGAAUUUGACCCCGCCCCCACUCACCCUUCUGCCGUACCGAGCACCAGACCAUGCCCACCAGCACACAGAUGAUCAGAAACACCAGUAGCGCCAGGAUGCCGCCCACAAUGGCGUAGGGCACCGACGUCUGAGCCUCUACCACCGCACCAGGGUCUGCCAGAGGGACAGGGCGCAGGCCCAGGUCAU